GGCAGUUCUCGGGUGACGCACCCUGGAAUCAGGCUCUGGGUGCGUCACCUGAGAACUGCA
rfam:Myotis davidii contig222486, whole genome shotgun sequence.